AUUGAACGCUGGCGGCAUGCUUUACACAUGCAAGUCGAACGGUAACAGGCCGCAAGGUGCUGACGAGUGGCGAACGGGUGAGUAAUGCGUCGGAACGUGCCCAGUCGUGGGGGAUAACGCAGCGAAAGCUGUGCUAAUACCGCAUACGAUCUAUGGAUGAAAGCGGGGGACCGUAAGGCCUCGCGCGAUUGGAGCGGCCGAUGUCCGAUUAGCUAGUUGGUGGGGUAAAGGCCCACCAAGUCGACGAUCUGUAGAUGGUCUGAGAGGACGACCAGCCACACUGGGACUGAGACACGGCCCAGACUCCUACAGGAGGCAGCAGUGGGGAAUUUUGGACAUGGGCGCAAGCCUGAUCCAGCAAUGCCGCGUGCAGGAAGAAGGCCUUCGGGUUGUAAACUGCUUUUGUACGGAACGAAACGGUCUGGGUUAAUACCCUGGGCUAAUGACGGUACCGUAAGAAUAAGCACCGGCUAACUACGUGCCAGCCGCCGCGGUAA
rnacentral:rRNA from 1 species